GACGAACGCUGGCGGCGUGCUUAACACAUGCAAGUCGAGCGGUAGUGCCCUUUCGGGGGUAUGAGAGCGGCGAACGGGUGAGUAACACGUGAGCAAUCUGCCCUUCACUCUGGGAUAGCCACCGGAAACGGUGAUUAAUACCGGAUAUGACCAUGCCAGGCAUCUGGUGUGGUGGAAAGUUCUGGCGGUGAAGGAUGGGCUCGCGGCCUAUCGGCUUGUUGGUGAGGUAAUGGCUCACCAAGGCUUCGACGGGUAGCCGGCCUGAGAGGGUGACCGGCCACACUGGGACUGAGACACGGCCCAGACUCCUACGGGAGGCAGCAGUGGGGAAUAUUGGACAAUGGGCGAAAGCCUGAUCCAGCAACGCCGCGUGAGGGAUGACGGCCUUCGGGUUGUAAACCUCUUUCAGCAGGGACGAAGCGCAAGUGACGGUACCUGCAGAAGAAGCACCGGCCAACUACGUGCCAGCCGCCGCAGUAACAC
rnacentral:rRNA from 1 species